UUUUUGAAAAUAAUUUAAAGUCUAGUCUGCCCACUGAUAAUUAUUAAAGGGCUGCAGUAUUUUGACUGUACAAAGGUAGCAUAAUCAUUAGUCUCUUAAUUGGUGACUUGUAUGAAAGAUUGGAUGAAAUAUAGACUGUCUCUAAGUAAUUUAUAAAAUUUAAUUUUUUAGUUAAAAAGCUAAAAUAAAUUUAAAAGACGAGAAGACCCUAUAGAGUUUUAUAAUUUAUUUAAUUAUUAUUAAUUUAUAAAAUAUUAAAAUUAAAAUUAAAUAAAUUAUUUUAUUGGGGUGAUAGAAAAAUUGAAUUAACUUUUUUUAUAUAAAUACAUUAAUUUAUGAAUAUAUGAUCCAUUUUUAGUGAUUAAAAGAAAAAAUUACCUUAGGGAUAACAGCGUAAUUUUUUUUUUUAGUUCAAAUAGGAAAAAAAGUUUGCGACCUCGAUGUUGGAUUAAGAUAAAAUUUAAAUGCAAAAGUUUAAAAUUUUGAUCUGUUCGAUCAUUAAAAUCUUACA
rnacentral:rRNA from 1 species